rnacentral:rRNA from 1 species
UACGUAGGGUGCGAGCGUUGUCCGGAAUUAUUGGGCGUAAAGGGCUCGUAGGCGGUUUGUCGCGUCGGGAGUGAAAUCCACUGGCUUAACUGGUGGCUUGCUUUCGAUACGGGCAGACUGGAGGUAUGCAGGGGAGAACGGAAUUCCUGGUGUAGCGGUGAAAUGCGCAGAUAUCAGGAGGAACACCUAUAGCGAAGGCAGCUUGCUGGGACGUUACUGACGCUAAGGCGCGAAAGCGUGGGGAGCGAACAGG